rnacentral:rRNA from 1 species
UACGGAGGGUGCAAGCGUUGUCCGGAAUCACUGGGCGUAAAGGGCGCGUAGGCGGUCCUUUAAGCGUGUGGUGAAAGCCCGCGGCUCAACCGCGGGUCGGCCAUGCGAACUGGGGGACUCGAGCACUGUAGAGGCAGGUGGAAUUCCGGGUGUAGCGGUGGAAUGCGUAGAGAUCCGGAAGAACACCGGUGGCGAAGGCGGCCUGCUGGGCAGUAGCUGACGCUGAGGCGCGACAGCGUGGGGAGCAAACAGG